UGGGGAAUAUUGGACAAUGGGGGCAACCCUGAUCCAGCGAUGCCGCGUGUGUGAAGAAGGCCUGCGGGUUGUAAAGCACUUUAGUUGGGGAGGAAAGGUAUGUACUGCAUAAGUGCAUGCUGUGACGUUACCCAAAGAAUAAGCACCGGCAAACUCUGUGCCAGCAGCCGCGGUAAUACAGAGGGUGCAAGCGUUAAUCGGACUUACUGGGCGUAAAGCGCGUGUAGGUGGAUGAAUAAGUUGGAUGUGAAAGCCCCGGGCUCAACCUGGGAAUGCCAUUCAAAACUGUUCAUCUAGAGUAUGGUAGAGGGAAGUGGAAUUUCAGGUGUAGCGGUGAAAUGCGUAGAUAUCUGAAGGAACACCAGUGGCGAAGGCGGCUUCCUGGACCAAUACUGACACUGAGACGCGAAAGCGUGGGGAGCAAACAGGAUUAGAUACCCGCGUAGUCCCUGAGCGGGCUGGCAAGGCGCAU
rnacentral:rRNA from 1 species